GAUAAACGCUGGCGGCGUGCAUGAGACAUGCAAGUCGAACGGACGAUCGAGGCUUGCUUCGAUCGUUAGUGGCGGACGGCUGAGUAACGCGUAGGUGACCUGCCCCGAAGUGGGGAAUAACUGCCCGAAAGGGUGGCUAAUACCGCAUGUGGUGGUGUGUUCAAUCACACCAGUAAAGCCGCAAGGCGCUUCGGGAGGGGCCUGCGUCCAAUUAGCUCGUUGGUGGGGUAACGGCUCACCAAGGCGACGAUCGGUAGGUGGUCUGAGAGGACGAUCACCCAGACUGGGACUGAGACACGGCCCAGACUCCUACGGGAGGCAGCAGUCGGGAAUUUUGCGCAAUGGACGAAAGUCUGACGCAGCAACGCCGCGUGAGGGAUGACGGCCUCGGUUGUAAC
rnacentral:rRNA from 1 species